rnacentral:misc_RNA from 1 species
GAAAUACCUUCCAUUUUGUACGCCAGCAUUCUCUUCAAGGAGCAAGCGCAGGGCUCAACUUCUCCUUCAUGGAUUGCUUUCUUACACUCAACCUCAAGCUCCUCAAACAUCACAGUCCACCUUUUCUCAAGAAAAUGCCAUUCACUAGCCCCGCCAACUUUGCAGACAAUUCUCUGUCACAAGCACUCCCUUCCCUUCAAUGUGGAACUAUUUUACAAUCACUCACCAACAUCAAAUCCCUUACUAAAGGCCAGCAACUCCACGCCUACAUCAUUACUUCUGGCAAUCUCCGAAAUAACACUUAUCUAAGCACCAAACUUGCAGCUUUAUACGCAACUUGUGGUCAUAUGACUGAUGCCCAGAUGAUCUUUAAUGGGAUCGUUUUGAAAAAUUCUUUCUUGUGGAAUUUUAUGAUUAGAGGCUAUGCUUGCAACGGGUUUUCAGUUAAAGCUCUUGUUUUGUAUAAACAAAUGUCUAGUUUUGGACAGAACGCGGAUAAGUUUACGUACCCUUUUGUUAUCAAGGCUUGUGGUGAUUUAUUGCAUGUGGAACUUGGUAGGAGGAUUCAUGGUGAGGUAGUGCUUACUGGGUUUGGCUCGGACAUUUACGUGGGUAAUUCUCUUACUGCAAUGUAUUCCAAGUUUGGAGACAUUCGGUCAGCAAGGAUAAU